UACGUAGGGUGCAAGCGUUGUCCGGAAUUAUUGGGCGUAAAGAGCUUGUAGGCGGUUUGUCGCGUCUGCUGUGAAAUUUCGGGGCUCAACCCCGAACUUGCAGUGGGUACGGGCAGACUAGAGUGUGGUAGGGGAGACUGGAAUUCCUGGUGUAGCGGUGAAAUGCGUAGAUAUCAGGAGGAAUACCGAUGGCGAAGGCAGGUCUCUGGGCUGACACUGACGCUCAUGCACGAAAGCGU
rnacentral:rRNA from 1 species